GAUGAACGCUGGCGGCGUGCCUAAUACAUGCAAAUCGAGCGAACAGACGAGGAGCUUGCUCCUUUGACGUUAGCGGCGGACGGGUGAGUAACACGUAGGUAACCUACCUAUAAGACUGGGAUAACUUCGGGAAACCGGAGCUAAUACCGGAUAAUAUUUCGAACCGCAUGGUUCGAUAGUGAAAGAUGGCUUUGCUAUCACUUAUAGAUGGACCUGCGCCGUAUUAGCUAGUUGGUAAGGUAACGGCUUACCAAGGCAACGAUACGUAGCCGACCUGAGAGGGUGAUCGGCCACACUGGAACAGAGACACGGUCCAGACUCCUACGGGAGGCAGCAGUAGGGAAUCUUCCGCAAUGGGCGAAAGCCUGACGGAGCAACGCCGCGUGAGUGAUGAAGGUCUUCGGAUCGUAAAACUCUGUUAUUAGGGAAGAACAAAUGUGUAAGUAACUAUGCACGUCUUGACGGUACCUAAUCAGAAAGCCACGGCUAACUACGUGCCAGCCGCCGCCGUAAGAC
rnacentral:rRNA from 1 species